UCCGUGUUUUAAACACCUUUAUCACUAAACUACACGUUGAACAAUUCUAUUUAUAGAUAUUUGUAAUCUGAUCGAAAACUACGAAACAGUCAGUGAAUUGCCAAGUUGUGACAUUUGAUUUAACAGUUAUUUGAUUUAACGGUUUAAUAAUAACAUACAGUGAUUUCAGAGCAUACAUUUGUCGGCUUGCACCUUGUUUGAAGUUUGGUCAUGGACUAGCGUGAGGCAAACUUUAGGGAAGAUCGGACAUACCUUAGCAACUCUGGACGAAAAAAGUUGAUGUCAUUGCAUAUGGAUCGAUUUUAGAGCGAAAAAAGCCAGAAUUGACAUUUAGACAUGCAGGUAAAUUCAUAGUGCCAUUGAAAUACCAACAAACAUUCCCAUAUGAAGCGGAGUAAAUACUAUUUCAGACAUGACAGCUAAUGCGGCUCAGGAUUUGAAUCACCUGAUUGCUUCAUUAAAAGAUUUGCCACACACUUCAAUUACAGCUACUGCUGCUGCUGCAUCUGCAGACAUUCCAAUUAAUGGCUCAUCUGUUUUAGUGCCAUCUUAUACGUUAACAGACGAUGCCAUAAAUGGUAUAAACAGCAAUAAAGAACUAAAUGUAACCUUCGGUGAAGGGGAAAGCAACACUCAUUUGGAGAAUGUUUGCAAUCGCCCUGAGAUGCACACAAGGAAAGUAGAUGAUGAUGAUAAUAAACGCCGUUUAAAACGUUGGAUGCAGCAAAGGCAAAGAGAAAACUGUAAUGACCCAGAGGACUGGAGGAUUCUAGAAAGAUAUCUACUAGCCGAAGCAACAUUAAAGAGAUUCGUGAAAACGCAUUACGGCUAUGGCCCCGUCAUUGUUGAGGAUUUAAACAUUUUUAAUUUGCCAACACCAGAGGGACGAUGUGUCAAUAUCUUGUUCGGAGGAAUAUUACCAAUAAUGAUGACCAUUGCCUUCGUGUUCGUCGCAUGGAAAUUUCCAAGCUUAGCGAUUUUGGCCAUUGUACUGUUACUGUUGAGUUGCUUUACGUUUCACAAGUGCAAAUGUAGAUGCAGGUGUUGUUGCUGUUGCUGCUCGUGGUGUUAUAUCCCAAAAUGGUGGUAUCGCUGGGCGAAUGGAUCGCGUGCCAAACGCUGCUGUGCAUAUUUAACAAUAACGGCGAUAUUGGCGUUACCAUCGAUGUUGAUUUUCUUCUUGAUAUCCAGUCAGUAUUCUUUUGUAGAGUUUUAAUUUUCACACACUUUACUGUCGGUAAUUCCACGCUGGAAAUGCGGAUACUUUGAUAACAGAUGGCACUUCGAUAAAAGAGAACAACAGAAGCCACGCGUGAGAGGUAAGUUCCUCAGAUUUAUUUAAAGUUAUAUCCUUAAGAUUAGUUUUUAGAAAAGGCACAUGGUCGAGUUUAUAAAUGGUGUAUCCUUUUCCAUUGGGAAGAAAACAAUCACGGAAGAAUGGUAGAUGUUCCCCCCAAAAAAUAGAAAAUUCGGUCGGAAAACAGCAUGAACUGGAUGAACAGUUAACAUUUCAACAAAAUACAACUACUUAGAAAUAUUGCAAGAAAUUGUUAGAUAUUCCAGCAUGAAUAGUAAUAAUUGUGCUUGAAAUACUGAAAUUGUGAUAGUAUUCAAUGAAAUAUACACGAAGAUAGGGCAUGUUUUAAAAUGCGGUAUUCAUGAAGUUGCAGACACUUGAUUCCUGAUAAAGGACACUUCGGAUAACAAAUUGGGCACUCUGAUAGCCGAGUUUUACCUUCUACCUGAAAUGCAUUUAUGUAUAUUAUGGAUUUUUUUUACUAAACAGUACGAAUCAAUGUGCAUAGUCAAGCGCGACACAUAGUGAAUCAAUGCAUAACUAAAUAACAAACACAUGUGAAAUAUAACCAAUGACGUUGUUCGUUUUCAAAUAGCACAUACUAUAAAUAUUAUAAUUGCACUUUGUUAAUAAGAUUAAAAUGCUUAUUUAUGAAGAAAUAUAUUUCAAGUGACGACUUGUCUACAUAAUGAACUAGUUUUUUAGUUGUAACUUGAGAUUCAGAGAGAUGAAAAUACAACGGAUCAUGUAAAUCAACAUUAUUGUGUUCAAUUUUACUUAAAGCAGGGCUCUAAAUAACGGGAGCGAAUGAGUCUUUAAGAGGCAAAUACACAAAAACAAACGAACAAACACAUAUUUUAUAGAAGUCUCAAUCACAUUGCAUGUUCAUACUACAAUUUACAUAUACAAUAUAACACAAUAGCAUGAAUGUAUCCAGUCAUAAAUGACUUAUUAAAGACUGUCCAUUUUAAAAGGCUUUACAUCAUUUAACAUGACUACAACAUUUAUAUUUAAAAAAAACAAGUUUUCAUUCUAAUUAAAAACAUUUUUACCAUUAAACAUACUGUAAGAUAUUCUACUUAAGUCUCUGUUUAUACAUAUAUACAGUAAAAGUAUGGUUAUGUCCUAGAGUAUUAAAAUUGUUUGCGUUCAUAUAAAAUUUUAAAGCAGGUAUUGGCAGCGACAUAUGCGUUAUUAUCAUUUUAAAAGUCGCAAGUUAUUUUUCAUCAUCUGACAAAUUUUCAUAAUUGACACUUGGCAUAUUAUUUAUUACAGAAAUAAGUUCUGUUCUACACUCAUUGUACAAUGGGCAAUGAUAUAGUACGUGCUUUUCAUCUUCUACAACAUUCUGGCAAUACAGACAACAUCUAUUUUCUAGUGCUAAAUUCUCAUAUCUUCCCGUCUCAACUCGUAAUGGUGCAACACCGCAUCUAAAUUUUGUAAAAGCUGAACGGUAAUUAAAAGAUAUAUUCAUUUUCAAAUAAUUCUCUGUACAAUAAUCUGAUUUAAAAAUUCUGUAAGUUCUCAGCUUGUUUCCACUAUUUCCUGUGAUAGAUAUAUUUCUAUCUAACAAUGCUUUCCAGUUCAACUUUUCAACAUAGUUAUAUUAUAGAUUCCUAAUGUGUUCAGGUAGCCAGUCUGCUAUGAGCCACAAGGCUUAUCAGUUUUAAUAGCCAGUACACGCUCGAGCGUGGCAGUUCAAUUUUACCGGUCUCUCUCUUAACAAUAGUACUCACGUUCAUCAAGUAGAUUUGCAUAGUUGUUAGGCGUUAAUAAAUAUUCGAUUAGUAACAUGGACUUAUUAUUUAUUAACACCCCAACAAAACAUGGUAUAAGAAAUUAAACUCUGAUGACUAUUUUGUGUUUACAUUCUAUUUUGUGGAAUUAUACAUAUGAUAAGAUGGAUCUAACAGGAAUUCCUAUUCCAAGGAUGAACUGGGACAGUGCAAAUUUCCUGGAGGAAUUUAAAAAGUUCCGCCAACAUGUUGAACUCAUUUUAAAAGGAGCAUUAGCAGAAAAGGAGGAGAGCGUAAAAGUGACUUAUAUGUUUCUUUGGGUCGGUGAGAAAGGCCGUGAAAUAUUCAACACACUUCCACUUACAGAUGAGGCAAGAAAAACAACAAAAGCGAUAUUUGAUGCAUUUCAAACGCACGUACAACCAAGAUCCAACACUAUCUUCAUCAGAUAUAAAUUUCAUAAGGAAAACCAAUAGACCAAAUAGUGUUUGGGAUUAAGUCUGAAAAGAUCCGAGAGAAGCUUAUCACCGAGGGUGACAAACUUACAUUGCGAAAAGCCAUUGAGAUCUGCCAAUCCUACGAGUAUGCACAAAAACAGUUGACAGAAAUGAAGACAAAGAAGUCGGUUUACUAUGUUAAAUUCAGACAUAUGUCGAGCAAACAGAAGCCACGUCCAUCUGUAAAAUCGGAGUCGGCCAGCCAACACGCAGCAUCCAGACAUGGUCGUUCCAGACCAUCACCUCAAAACGCCAAGUCUUCAAGACUGCAUCCUCAACAGGAGAGGACACGUCAAAACUGCACCACCGUACACAGAAAAUGACAAUUCCCUGCCCAUGGGAAACAGUGUCACCUCUGCAAGAAAUAGAACCAUUUCGCAUCCGCAUUCCGAUCUAGGAAUGUCAACGACAUUUACAGUGCCGAUCGAAGUGAUGAUGUACAUAGUGAUGGUGUGCUUUGUGAUAGAGUUUUUGUGGAUAGUAUUGAAUCCAAAAUAGUUAAUGGACAAGUUUUUGCAGAAAUUGGGGUAGGUUCAAAACAACAAAACAUCAAGUUCAAGAUUGACACAAGAUCUCAGGUAAAUAUACUGCCAUUUUCUAACUAUCAAAGCAUUGGUACCAAGGGAAAUCUCAAACGUUCAUAUCUCCGGUUAGCAACAUACAAUUGUACCCCGUUUAAGACUGAAGGCACUAUUAACUUAGAUUGAAUACACGCACGUAAUGGUCAUUCUGAGAAUGUUGAAUUCCAUGUAGUGCAUACGCAAUCACAUCCUUUGCUCAGUUUACAAAGGUCUGUUAAUUUUGGCCUAAUCCAGCUAUCUUUCUCAGUGGAAUCCCAGACAUCGAACUGUCCAAUGACGAAAGAGACUAUUGUACGGGACUUUCCAAAGCUUUUUAAAGGAAUAAGCAACAUGCUGGGUGAGUGCAACAUUCAUUUAACGCCCGACAGCAAGCCUGCUGUUCACCCCCCUCGUAGAAUACCUGUUGCACUACAGGACAGAUGUAAAGCUGAACUGGCCAAAAUAGAGAAAUUAGGGAUCAUAAUAAAGUUCAAUGAACCUACCGAAUUGGUAAAGUCCAUGGUACUCGUGAAAAAAGGCCAAGGUGAUUUAAGAGUUUGUUUGGAUGCCACGGACCUAAAUAAAUGUAUACAGCGUCCGCAUUACCCUAUGCGAUCCCUGCACGAUAUUUUGCCAUCCCUUAAUGGAGCAAAAUACUUCACAAAACUUGAUGCCAGAUCAGGUUACUGGUCUGUUAAACUCAGUGAAGAGUCAUCAUAUCUGACGUGUUUUAGUACCAUAUUUGGAAGGUACCGUUAUCUGAGGUUACCAUUUGGUCUAUGUUUGAGUGGAGGCGAAUCAUCAGACGAAUAGAUCAAUGUUUUAAGGCCUUAAUGGCGUGGUCACAAUUGUUGAUGAUAUCCUUGUCUAUGGUCGAACUAGACAGGAGCAUUACAGCAACCUUAAAGCCGUGCUUGAAAGAGCGCUCGAUCGAGGUAUUAUCCUAAUGAGGACAAAAUUGAGGUUGGCAUGACUGACGUUAAUUAUUUUGGUCACCUGCUGACUGCAGAAGGUCUCAGGCCGGAUCCAGCCAAGGUCGCUGCGAUCAAAGACAUGCCGCCUCCAAGCAACAAAAAUGAGUUGCAAACUGUAUUAGUAACGGUCAACUAUUUGUCUCGGUUUGCACCGAAUUUUGUCACAGGUUACCAGCCCCCAAGAAAGCUAUUAGGAAAAGACACUGAAUUCAUGUGGGCUAAGCCACAAAUAGACGCAUUUAACAAGGUCAAGGACAUAUAAACACAACCAGGUCAAGCAUUAGGCUACUUUGAUUCAAAAAAGCCACUCACGUUACAGACAGACAGUUCAAGGACUGGUCUCGGAACUACGCUAUUGCAGGACGGAAAGCCCAUAGCGUACGCUAGCAAGUCACUUACAAACAGUCAAAAGAAUUAUGCCAUGAUUGUGCUAGAAUGCUUGGGAAUCCUUUUUGGGUUAAAACGUUAUCACCAAUGGGUUUACAAUAGAAAGGUCACAGUUGAAAUGGAUCAUAUACCGCUGGUUUCAAUUUUCAAGAAGCAUUUAAAUGCAGCACCAGCAAGGUUACAGCGCAUGUUACUGCACAUGCAGCCCUAUGACAUUGACGUAAGACAUCGCCCAGGUAAGGACAUUCCUGUUCCAGAAACAUUGUCUCGGAAACCGUGAAGUGAGACAGGCCCUGACCUAUCAAACCAGGCAGACAUUCAGGUAAAUAUGGUAAUGUCACGUUUACCUGUACAUUACAAGAAAAUGCAGGAAAUAAGGGAAGAAACAGAGAAAGAUACAAUACUUUCAGUUCUCAAACAAACAAUUAUUUCCGGUUUGCCUACACAAAAACAGCAUGUCCAUCUCAGAUCUUAGAUUUCUGGAAUUAUCGGGACGAAUUAACAGUUAUUGAAGAAAUUAUCAUGAAAGGUUGCAAAAUUGUAAUUCUUAAGUCUCUACAACCCAGAAUGCUUGAGAUUAUCCAGGCAGGUCACAUGGGAGUGGAAAAAUGCUUACGUAGAGCUCGAGAUAUCAUGUUAUGGCCUCAGCAGAAAUCACGCAGUUAGUUCUCAAUUGCCCAAUUAGUUUGAAUCACAGAAGUUCAAACAUCAAAGAGCCACUCCAAUCCCAUGAAAUCCCUCUAUCCUUGGCAGGCUGUUGGCACUGAUGUAUUUACAUUUGAUGAUCAAGACUACAUUAUCGCAUGUGACUAUUACUCAAAUUACUUUGAACUGGGUAAAUUAAACAGCACCAAUUCAUCAAGUGCCGUUAAAUAUCUUCAAUCUUGGUUUUCACGCCAUGGUAUUCCAGAGAAAUUAGUCUCUGAUGGCGCCAGCUAUUACAGUUCCCAAGAGUUUCAACAUUUCCUGGCUGAAUGGGACAUCAAUCAUGUUCAGUCAUCACCCCACUACCCGAGGUCAAAUGGCUUGGCAGAAUCUUGUGUGAAAAGAGCUAAAACUCUUUUGUAAAAGGCAUGAGAAAUUGGUCAAAAUAUACAGGUUGCACUUUUGGAAUACCGUGCAACGCCAUUGUGUUCAGGUUAUUCUCCAGCAGAAUCACUUAUGGGAAGGAAAAUAAUGUCAUUUUUACCAAUCACAUCGGACAAACUUGUACCUUACAACAUCAAUCACCAAACAGUAAGAGACAAGUUUAAAAUUCAGAAAGAAAAACAAAAGACAAAUUAUGACAAACACACAAAACAAUUACAUCCACUUAACAGAGGUCAGUCAGUUAGGUUUCAGCAAGAAGAGAAAGGUUCAUGGAAACCAGCUGUUGUUACACAGGUACACAAUAACAGGGCAUACACUAUUCAGACACCUGAAGGCGUUUCGUACAGGCGUAAUAGACAUCACCUCACGAGUAUUUUGCUGAAAUACCAAGCUUUGAUUGUCAGAGUUCGGCAGAGGAAACAACAAUGAAAGCAAUGACUUCAUUCCUUUGAACCCAAAGUAAUUACAAGCAAGCCAAUUACCAGUACUACAACCAUCCCCAGUUCCUGCAAAACCAAAACCACCUGUUAGCAGAACUGAUCAGCCAGUGUACACCACACGAUACGGUCGCCAGGUGAAGCCCAGGCAAAUAAUGGACGUUUAAUAAACUGUUCUGUUAACAGAGUCUUUAUUUUACCAGUAUCAGUGUAUAAGUGACAGAUAAACAAGUUUACUGAAACAGCAGUGGUUUAAGCUAAGCCUUAUGCUAUCCAUGUAUUAUCUAUCAAUCAACAGUGUUUGAAUAUACUUAUAACUUCAUUAUUGUAUUGUAUUGUAUAAAAUGUAUUUUGUAUCAAAUACUAAACUAAUUUAAAAAGGGAGAUGUAUAUCAUAGCUUCCUCAUGUGUUCAGGUGGCCAGUCUACUAUGAGCCACAAUGUUUAUCAGUUUAAAUAGCCAGAACACGCUCCAGCGUGGCAGUUCAAUUUUACCGGUCUCUCUCUUAACAAAAGUACUCACGUUCAUCAAGUAGAUUCACAUUGUUGUUGUGCGUUAAUAAAUAUUAAAUUAGUAACAUGGACUUGUUAUUAAUUAACACCCCAACAAAACAAACAUCAAACAAUUUAUCUUCAAUGUAAUUGAUUUCAGGUUUAGAGUUGCCACUAGCAAGAUUCAAAAAUUCAAUACAAUUAAUAUUUUGAAGACACUUUUUCGAUCUAAAAUAACUAUUUCUUACAUUAGCACUUUUUGACCACAAAAAUACCACUUUAUUCUUUCUUGUAUUUGGCAUGCUCAUCACUCUAAAGUAUUGUCUGAAAACUGCACCACAGAGCAUAACAUUGAGCGGUUUCCAACCCAUCUCCCCAAUCAAAACUGCAUUUGGAGUAUAUUUCCCUACACCAAGAAAGUACCGCAUGGCACGGUUGUGGACUGCAUUUAUACACGAAAAAGACCUGUCCCCCCAUAAGGGAGCGCUGUAGUUAAUGAUUGGCCAUACCAUACUAUCAUACAGCUUUGUGAAAGUUGAGUACUGGAAACCACCAACUGCUUUGCUCUUUGAAAUAAUCAGACCAAGAGCCCUGGACGCUGACAUAGCAACAGUUUUAGCUAUCUUAUGAAAGUCAAGAAAUUCAUUUAACACAACACCAAAGUACUUGUAGCUAUCUACAUAUUCUAAUAAAUCUGUUCCAAGUUUAAAAGCAUGAUCCGACAUAAGUGUCCCAUUAGUACGAUGAAUAAUAUUUGACUUAUUACAGUUUACUGUUAUUUUAGUUUGAGUACACCAGACUGAUUCAACAAUAACUGAAAAUCCUUGGCAUUUUCAGCUAAUAAUACAACAUCACCAGCAUAUAAUAAAAUACUUAUUUUUGUAAGUGCUAUCUUGAUUCCUUUAUCUAAACUAUUUAUUGUAGAAGCCAAAUUAUUAAUAUACAAAUUAAAAAGCAUAGAGAAGAGGAGGCAACCCUGUUACAAGUCGAACUUUUUAUCGAACCAAUGCGUGUCGAAGCCAUUUAGACGGACACAACAUUAAACAUCUUUAUACAAUGAAAAUAUGGCUUGAAACAGUCUGCCCCGCAAUCCCAAAUGCUGCAACUUUUUCCACAGUGUACUUCGAUCUAACAAAUCGUACGCUUUCUUAAAAUCGAUAAAGGCGGCAAAAGUGGGGAGCCUUUUGAGUUUACGAUUUUCUAUAAAUUUGCUUUUCCCUUUAACAAAUGUGUUCUUCAUAAAAUCCGAUGUCAUUGGUGCUAAUCAAAUUCGCAUUAUCAAGACGAUACUAAUGCAUAGCCACAAACUUUAUAACAGAAUUGAAAACUCCCUUUAUCUUGAGCCCUGCUUAUAGAGGCACUUACUUAUACACAAUGAUUUCGGACCUGCAUCGCUACUGAUAUUUAUCCUUAAGUAGCAGAUUUAGCAGAGUGAUGUUUCAUGACAUGCUAUCUAAUAAAUAAAAAAAGACCUCAGUACCUUUAAAAUGACAUAAUUAUACAUGCUUUAGAUCAACCGUUUUGCUACAAGGGACGUUAGUUUAAAUUGUUUAAGCUCAUGUACUAUGCGAAGAUCCGGCGGUUGGAUGACUCGCAAACUUGAAAAUAUAUGGUCAUAUAGACGGUACUCAUCAAACAUAUCGGAUUAGUUUCACAAUUAUCUCUCACAUUUAUACAAAAUCAUAAUCAUAUUCCAAAGGGAUAAGAAAAUGUUUCGAUAAUUCGUUUUUAAUUUACUUCAGUACAUACAUUAGUAUGCAUUGCCUGCUUACUAUAACAGUAUUCCACAGCGAAUUGUGCAUUUCUGAUUUAAUAAAAAGAGCGUGUUAUAUCUGGUAAAAAGUGUCGACAAAUCAGGAAUAGAAGUGCCAUUGUCAUCGAGAUGAUCGAUUAAAGAAGUGUCCAUGAAAAUUGGGCAUCCAACUCUUUAAACAUUUUUAUUUUCUAAUACGUUAGUAAAAUAAAAUGUAACAUAUUGUUAUAUUAAUGGAUAUAUUGAACUUUUAUUUCGAAAAAAAGCACGUUCUUGGUAUAUUUCCAAGUAUUUUUAUUUUUUGGAAAUAUGAACUGAUCAUCCAAUUCAUGCUUAUGAUCGAUGAAAUUUUAGCGUUUAUUAAUAUAAUCCACCGUUUUUCUGCGAAUUUCUUCCUUCGCAAUACGAAGUGCAAUACCAUUAAUCGACAAAACAAUGUCCCUUGUGUGAAAACCGAAUGAACAGAACAUAAAUGCAAAAAAAUCUGAAGAACUCUCCUAUCGCGCGUGGCUUUUGUUGUUCUCGAAGUGCCAUCUGUUAUCAAAGUAUCCGCAUACCCGGCGUGAAUUCGUGCGUUUUAAAAUUCGGGAACACUUAUCAUAUUCAUGCAAAAAGCAUAUUGUUGUAUUUUCUAAUACAAUGUUAAGAAUUAUAUAGACUAACAUUGUUAAAUUGUAAAAUAUCAUUUUAGGCCAUACACAUCUGCAGUUAAAAAAUUGACAACUAAACAUGAAUUUAAUUUAGGACAUAUAAAGAUCAUAACACAUGAACUUUACUGAAACUGCAAACUGGAAAUAUAUUUCCAGUAUUGUUAAGAUUCAUGUAUACGCAUAGUUUUACGGAUGUCGAAAUACAUACUUUUUAUCCAAAAAUAAUAUAUCUGUUCGCAUAUAUAUAUUUAUGUAAAAUAUAAGGUGCUUGUACGUUGUACGCACGUGUAUACUGAGGUUGAUUUUCAUUGCACAGUUGUAGCUUAUUGUUGUAACGGGUAAAUAGUGCCAUAUUAUCUGUUUAAUGAUCGCAUACGUUUUAUUUCAUUUGUUAUGUAGUUUUUGUUGUUGAUAAAAGCUUAAAUGUUUACACUAACGUUUAGAUUAUUAAUAUACAUGUACUUUCAAAACAUAUCAAUAUAAAUCAAGACGAAAAAUACAUCUUUUUUAACCGAAUUUAGCAUGAUUAAACUGUAUCAUAAACACGUUGCCCGGCCGAUGUGAAAUAAUCAGCUUGUAAUUCACUGAUACACUCAACUCAUUUACUGCAAAGCAUGAAACCAUAGUCAUAUGGCAUAUUCCUUGAACUGAUACCUCCCCUUAAAGGAUAAACACUGCAAUCACAAAUUAAAUCCUUCCAAAUGUGGAAGGCCUCCUAUUUUGGUUACUAAUUGAAAUUGUACUCAAAUCCGUGUUAUUUUCUAGGGCUUUGAUAGAGCAAUGCUCGGACCCAGUCUUUAUUGAACCGAGGUUUGUAUAGUAUAACAGCCAUUUGGGUCAUGGUAUAUCGCGCUUUUAUUGCAAAACUGCUCUUUAAAUUUGUACCAUAAAUCUCAUUCAACUUUGAUAUUUUCCUUAUAACUUUUGAUUUGCUUCUUUCCGUGUUAGCAUGCCAGGGUUGUUUUCUGAUUACCAUGUAAUACAUUCAAUAAAAUUGAGGUGCAGUAUA